rnacentral:rRNA from 1 species
UACGUAGGGGGCAAGCGUUGUUCGGAAUUACUGGGCGUAAAGGGAGCGUAGGCGGAAUUGUAAGUUAGGAGUGAAAUCUACAGGCUUAACCUGUAGAUUGCUUUUAAUACUGCUUUUCUUGAGUAUUGGAGAGGGAGAUGGAAUUCCAGGUGUAGCGGUGGAAUGCGUAGAUAUCUGGAAGAACACCAGCUGCGAAGGCGGUCUCCUGGCCAAAUACUGACGCUGAGGCUCGAAAGUUAGGGGAGCAAACAGG